AGGAGCCCAGAGCCUGAAUCAGCAUGUGUGUUAGUGGAAGCGUCUGGAAAGGCGCGCGAUACAGGGUGACAGCCCCGUACACAAAAGCGCAUGUGCUGUGAGCUCGAUGAGUAGGGCGGGACACGUGGUAUCCUGUCUGAAUAUGGGGGGACCAUCCUCCAAGGCUAAAUACUCCUGACUGACCGAUAGUGAACCAGUACCGUGAGGGAAAGGCGAAAAGAACCCCGGCGAGGGGAGUGAAAAAGAACCUGAAACCGUGUACGUACAAGCAGUGGGAGCACCCUUCGGGGUGUGACUGCGUACCUUUUGUAUAAUGGGUCAGCGACUUAUAUUCUGUAGCAAGGUUAACCGUAUAGGGGAGCCGGAGGGAAACCGAGUCUUAAUUGGGCGUUAAGUUGCAGGGUAUAGACCCGAAACCCGGUGAUCUAGCCAUGGGCAGGUUGAAGGUUGGGUAACACUAACUGGAGGACCGAACCGACUAAUGUUGAAAAAUUAGCGGAUGACCUGUGGCUGGGGGUGAAAGGCCAAUCAAACCGGGAGAUAGCUGGUUCUCCCCGAAAGCUAUUUAGGUAGCGCCUCGUGAAUUCAUCUCCGGGGGUAGAGCACUGUUUCGGCUAGGGGGCCAUCCCGGCUUACCAACCCGAUGCAAACUGCGAAUACCGGAGAAUGUUAUCACGGGAGACACACGGCGGGUGCUAACGUCCGUCGUGAAGAGGGAAACAACCCAGACCGCCAGCUAAGGUCCCAAAGUCAUGGUUAAGUGGGAAACGAUGUGGGAAGGCCCAGACAGCCAGGAUGUUGGCUUAGAAGCAGCCAUCAUUUAAAGAAAGCGUAAUAGCUCACUGGUCGAGUCGGCCUGCGCGGAAGAUGUAACGGGGCUAAACCAUGCACCGAAGCUGCGGCAGCGAACGUAUCACCCAAGACAACUUUACGGAGUUGACGAUUGACGGAGCGAAGCGACGUCAAAGCGUUCAUUAAAGUCGAGUUGGCUUAGGGAUACGUUCGUUGGGUAGGGGAGCGUUCUGUAAGCCUGUGAAGGUGUGUCGUGAGGCAUGCUGGAGGUAUCAGAAGUGCGAAUGCUGACAUAAGUAACGAUAAAGCGGGUGAAAAGCCCGCUCGCCGGAAGACCAAGGGUUCCUGUCCAACGUUAAUCGGGGCAGGGUGAGUCGACCCCUAAGGCGAGGCCGAAAGGCGUAGUCGAUGGGAAACGGGUUAAUAUUCCCGUACUUGGUGUUACUGCGAAGGGGGGACGGAGAAGGCUAUGUUGG
rnacentral:rRNA from 1 species